GCUGACGUGUCUUUGGUGCCCUCUGGUGGUAAGCUGUGUCCUUUUUCUAUCGUUGCCAUUGGCUACAAGUCAAAACAACUGGGCACAAAAUGUGCUUCUGUCUAGUCGGCUGCAGGUUACGAGUCUAGAAUCAACAGGGAAAAUAAAUAUAAAAAAAUAGCCUGCACAGCGAUGCCAGGGACCGAGAAAAAGGCGAAGGAAGAGAAUAACUAAAAAGACUGCAAAAGCUGCAGGCACGAAAGUCGUGGCCCCGGAUGCAAUUACACCUCUCUACGUGCCUCCGCCGCCCGUGCUGGGGCAAAAGCUUUUACAAGUUCUGCAAGGAUGGAAGGAAGAGAAGACCCAGGUGAACGGAGUGCAUGUAUCGGACAGGGCUUCACAGAAACUCUCAAGACAGGAGAUUCAAGAUCUGAAGAUGGUCUUCAAUCUUACGGACAAUGAAAAGACUGGAAAAGUCAGCUUCAGUGAUUUUCUGGAACUUGUCGUUGAGUUGGAGGGAGAUGGAAGAGACAUCUGUGAAGAAAUUGAACAAGGAUUCAAGUAUUUAGACUGUGAUAACGAUGGGAAAGUAACAUUUGAUAAUCUGAAAAAAGCCUGUCAGUCAGCGGGCAUUCAUUUCUCACAUCAGAAGCUGCGAGAGAUGAUCACGGAAACAGACACAAACGGAGACGGUGCUGUGGACCGCGAGGAAUUUACAAAAGUCAUGUUAAAGACCAAUCUGUUC